rnacentral:sRNA from 1 species
GAUUGAGGCUGGGGGAGAGCGCGGAUGGCUGAUUGGGGAGCCGAAGCCUAGAGAGCGGUGGGGAGACGUGAAAGUCGAGAUGGAGAGCAGCUUUUUGAACAUGUUCUCAGGCACUUGACAGAAUCCCGCUCUUCCACCAAAGCCACCUAAGCCAAUGACUUCAGCAGUUCCAAAUGGAAUGAAGGACAGUUCUGUUUCUCUUCAGGAUGCAGAAUGGUACUGGGGGGAUAUUUCAAGGGAGGAGGUAAAUGACAAAUUGCGGGAUAUGCCAGAUGGGACCUUCUUGGUCCGAGAUGCCUCAACAAAAAUGCAGGGAGAUUAUACUUUGACUUUGCGGAAGGGAGGCAAUAAUAAGUUAAUAAAGAUCUAUCACCGGGAUGGUAAAUAUGGCUUUUCUGAUCCUCUGACAUUUAAUUCCGUGGUGGAGCUCAUUAACCACUAUCACCAUGAAUCUCUUGCUCAGUACAAUCCCAAACUUGAUGUGAAGCUGAUGUACCCAGUGUCCAGAUACCAACAGGAUCAGUUGGUAAAAGAAGAUAAUAUUGAUGCAGUAGGUAAAAAACUGCAAGAAUACCACUCUCAGUAUCAGGAGAAGAGUAAAGAGUAUGAUAGGCUGUAUGAAGAAUAUACUAGAACAUCCCAGGAAAUACAGAUGAAGAGGACUGCAAUAGAAGCUUUUAAUGAAACAAUUAAAAUAUUUGAAGAGCAGUGUCACACACAAGAACAACAUAGCAAAGAAUAUAUUGAGCGAUUUCGCAGAGAGGG